UAAGGAAUAUUGGUCAAUGGACGCAAGUCUGAACCAGCCAUGCCGCGUGAAGGAAGACGGCCCUACGGGUUGUAAACUGCUUUUCCAGGGAGAGAAACUUGCGUACGCGUUGCGCAAUUGACGGUACCCUGGGAAUAAGCAUCGGCUAACUCCGUGCCAGCAGCCGCGGUAAUACGGAGGAUGCGAGCGUUAUCCGGAUUCAUUGGGUUUAAAGGGUGCGUAGGCGGACUAUUAAGUCAGUGGUGAAAUCCUGCAGCUUAACUGCAGAACUGCCAUUGAUACUGAUAGCCUUGAGUUUGGUUAAGGUAGGCGGAAUGUGUAAUGUAGCGGUGAAAUGCUUAGAUAUUACACAGAACACCAAUUGCGUAGGCAGCUUACUGAGCCGACACUGACGCUGAGGCACGAAAGCGUGGGGAUCGAACA
rnacentral:rRNA from 1 species